AAGUAACACCAUAGAAGUUGAUAUUUACGGAUGUGCAAAUCGAGGCGCGCAGACUUUGAGAGGAAAAGAGGUGAGCAGAGGAAGGCUCACAAGGAACUAGUUGGCAAGUCUCUUGCACACUGAGCAGAAGCGCAGAAUGGAGGAAGUUACUCUGAGUGUGAUUAAUCAUCUGACCAGCUCUUUCCCUCAGCUCUGCCUGCUGCUCCGGGCAUGUAAAGCAUUGCUUUCUCUGUGACAACUGUAUUUCUUUUGAAAAUUAUUUUUACUGAAAGUUCAGAAGGCCUUCAGUAAACCAGAGGUGGACUUUUCUCUCCACAUCUAUGUUCCUUUCCCAGAAUCCUCAUGCUCUAAAGCUGCCUCAGCAGACUGGGGUGUAGUUCCGUGGUAGAGCACUUGCUCAGCAAGCAUAGAUUUGUGGGACUGAGGCUUAGUCUAGUUGGCUGAAUGGUUUGGCUGAAGGCAAGUCAGUUGACACCCUGGCUCUUUACUUGAACCUGGUAGGCUCCCUUGUAAAUCCUAAAGUGGCCCAGGAUCCAGGCCAGCCCAUCAACUCAGCCACCAGCCAGCCCUGUGCGUCACCCUGCAGAGGCACUGGCUUGCUGAUGGGCUGUGGCUGUUGUCUGACUGUGUGUUUUCUGAAGUGCUUGUAUUUUAGAUGGGUGACUUAGAUCACUGUGGCAAUAGAACCAGGAUCAUCUGAUUAAUUGUGUACUUGUGUCUUUCCUUUUACUCAAAAUGAUGCCUGUCUCACCUUGAUCCUUCAGGGUUGUUUAGUAAAGGCUUCUUCGAUAAUGUAGAAGGGGGUAAGUAGCCAGCGAAACUGAGCUCUGUCUGUGAACUUUAACAUCCUGACAGAGGCUGGAAACAUUCGUCCCAGCCAGCAAACGUGUCUUUACUCUUGUACUGAUUUCAUGGGUGCAUGGAUGUCUUUAACUUCUUUUUUUUUUUUUCUGUUAAAGACAAAUUUAAACAACAGUUCCAUUAUGGGCUAUCUAUCACUAGUUCCCAGUACCAUCCAUGAUAAACACUUUUUGUUGCUAUGACAGAAUGCCUGAGAAAAAUAAUG
rnacentral:lncRNA from 1 species